CCCUUAGAUGUUCUGGGCCGCACGCGCGCUACACUGAUGCAUUCAACAAGCCUAGCCUUGACCGAGAGGUCCGGGUAAUCUUUGAAACUGCAUCGUGAUGGGGCUAGAUUAUUGCAAUUAUUAAUCUUCAACGAGGAAUGCCUAGCAAGCGUGAUUCAUCAAAUCGCGUUGAUUACGUCCCUGCCCUUUGUACACACCGCCCGUCGCUCCUACCGAUUGAAUGUGUUGGUGAGGAGCUCGGAUUGGCAGCAGUUGGUGGUUCGCCACCGGCUAUUGCUGAGAAGUCCUCCAAACCGCCCCAUUUAGAGGAAGGAGAAGUCGUAACA
rnacentral:rRNA from 1 species